rnacentral:rRNA from 1 species
GGACAACAGUUGGAAACGACUGCUAAUACCGCAUAAGCCCACGACCCGGCAUCGGGUAGAGGGAAAAGGAGCAAUCCGCUUUGAGAUGGCCUCGCGUCCGAUUAGCUAGUUGGUGAGGUAAUGGCCCACCAAGGCGACGAUCGGUAGCCGGACUGAGAGGUUGAACGGCCACAUUGGGACUGAGACACGGCCCAGACUCCUACGGGAGGCAGCAGUGGGGAAUACUGCACAAUGGGGGAAACCCUGAUGCAGCGACGCCGCGUGGAGGAAGAAGGUCUUCGGAUUGUAAACUCCUGUUGUUGAGGAAGAUAAUGACGGUACUCAACAAGGAAGUGACGGCUAACUACGUGCCAGCAGCCGCGGUAAAACGUAGGUCACAAGCGUUGUCCGGAAUUACUGGGUGUAAAGGGAGCGCAGGCGGGAAGACAAGUUGGAAGUGAAAUCCAUGGGCUCAACCCAUGAACUGCUUUCAAAACUGUUUUUCUUGAGUAGUGCAGAGGUAGGCGGAAUUCCCGGUGUAGCGGUGGAAUGCGUAGAUAUCGGGAGGAACACCAGUGGCGAAGGCGGCCUACUGGGCACCAACUGACGCUGAGGCUCGAAAGUGUGGGUAGCAAACAGGAUUAGAUACCCUGGUAGUCCACACUGUAAACGACGA